rnacentral:rRNA from 1 species
UACGUAGGGUGCGAGCGUUGUCCGGAAUUACUGGGCGUAAAGAGCUCGUAGGUGGUUUGUCGCGUUGUUCGUGAAAACUCACAGCUCAACUGUGGGCGUGCGGGCGAUACGGGCAGACUGGAGUACUGCAGGGGAGACUGGAAUUCCUGGUGUAGCGGUGGAAUGCGCAGAUAUCAGGAGGGACACCGGUGGCGAAGGCGGGUCACUGGGCAAUAACUGACGCUGAGGAGCGAAAGCGUGGGGAGCGAACAGG